rnacentral:rRNA from 1 species
GAAACUGCGAAUGGCUCAUUAUAUCAGUUAUAGUUUAUUUGAUGGUUCUUGCUACUUGGAUAACCGUAGUAAUUCUAGAGCUAAUACAUGCGUAAAACCCCAACUUCUGGAAGGGGUGUAUUUAUUAGAUGGAAACCAAUGCGGGGUAACCCGGUAUAUGGUGAUUCAUAAUAACUUUCGGAUCGACUUCGGUCGAUGCAUCAUUCAAGUUUCUGCCCUAUCAGCUUUGGAUGGUAGGGUAUUGGCCUACCAUGGCUUUAACGGGUAACGGAGAAUUAGGGUUCGAUUCCGGAGAGGGAGCCUGAGAAAUGGCUACCACAUCCAAGGAAGGCAGCAGGCGCGUAAAUUACCCAAUCCUGACACAGGGGAGGUAGUGACAAUAAAUAACAAUGCCGGGCUUUUUAAGUCUGGCAAUUGGAAUGAGAACAAUUUAAAUCCCUUAUCGAGGAUCAAUUGGAGGGCAAGUCUGGUGCCAGCAGCCGCGGUAAUUCCAGCUCCAAUAGCGUAUACUAAAGUUGUUGCAGUUAAAAAGCUCGUAGUUGAAUUUCUGGUCUCAGACAACGGUCUGCCUCAAACGAGGUACGUACCAGUUGUCUGAAUCCAUCCUCGGGGAAAACAUAUCUGGCAUUAAGUUGAUGGGGUAGGGAAUCCCUCCGCCAUUUACUGUGAGCAAAUUAGAGUGGUUCAAGCCAGGCUUAUGCCAUUGGAAUACAUUAGCAUGGGAUAAUAAGAUAAGGACCUUGG